GAAAUGCGAUAAGUAAUGUGAAUUGCAGAAUUUCAGUGAAUCAUCGAAUCUUUGAACGCACCUUGCGCUCCUUGGUAUUCCGAGGAGCAUGCCUGUUUGAGUGUCAUGAACGCCAUCAACCCUCCCUCCUUUUCUUCCUUCAUGGGAAAGGGGAGGGGGAGGUUUGGACUUUGGGAGCCUGCUGGGCCGCCUUCGGGGCGGGUCGGCUCUCCUGGAAUGCAUUAGCGGCGGACCCUUGCUGGGGAGAAGCGGCUCGCGGUGUAAUACUUGUUUUGUUCACCUCGUCGCCCGCCUUCGUCCUCUGGGGCCUUCUCGACGCUUCUAAAAAACCGACCCCUUGACCAUCUGGCCUCAAAUCAGGCAGGACUACCCGCUGAACUUAA
rnacentral:misc_RNA from 1 species